GUCGGUCACCGGGACGCGAAUCGCCCUGCAGAGCGAGGGCGGAGAAUCUGGUUCAUGGGCACACAGCCCGCAGCUGGCUCCGGGGGCCCGUGAUUCACCCUGUCCUCGCCGAGUUCGCGCACUGGAAGCCCGCUUCUCCCCGAGAGAAGCACAAAGCCACCACUGUCUCCAGCAACCCAGGGCUUUGCCAGGACUCAAGGACCUUCGAGAGGGAAACAAAAAGGCAUUAGCUCCGGAUGAAGAGGCGUCUGCAGGGGCCCCAGCAGCUCCGCCUCUGCGGCACCCAGGCUCGGGCUCGCUGUCACCUUCCGCACAAUCUCUUUCCCUCUCAGGCCCUGUUCCUCCCAUUAAGUCAGCCCCAGGCCCGAGCCCGCCCCUCCCCCAUCCCAUCAUCCCCAGCGGGACUCGGUUUACCUCCUGGAGUCCCGCCUUCAGCCUCUGCAAAGUGUGAGGCUGCAUCACUGACCCUCCUCUAUCCUCACGUACCCUCCGUUCACCCCACGCAUCGUGACCGAGCGCGCACAGGGUGCCAGAUGCAGCCCCGAGCGCCGAGAUCCUGUCCUGUCUUGGGGUGUCCACAUCUGUCCUGUAGCUCAAGUCACAAAGCCGCGUGGGCCGGGGCCCCGCUAAGGUGAUGCUCUCCAACUCAGGGUGGACUCUCGCCGCGGCCGAUAGAGCCCAUCCCUCCCCUGUGGGCUCCUCGGCCCGACACCCCUCCUUCCCAGUUCUCUCCAGGCUCCGGGGAUCUCCAGCUCCGGGCAAAUGUGCAGCGAAAUGACCGGGGUCCAGCUCGAAAUGCCUUCUCCUUUUACACCUCCUCUCUGCAUCCGCUCCCCUCCAGAGCUCACGUUUUUCAUUUCAUCCCAAGCGCUCAUUCCUCCUCUUCCUGCAAAGUACACUCACUGCUGCGUGCAACCAAGAGCCAAGGACCCCUUUCCUUCCCUUCGCCACCACCAACUUGAAAUAAUAGUUCGCAUCCUUCUUCACCUCUACUGGUGAGGGUCUACUCUCAGAUUCGUAAGAUCUGGCCUCUACAUCCUUCUAUCGUUGUAUGAAAUGGCUUUCUCAAGGACCGCAGGGACUAAAUAACCAAUGUCCAGUUUCAAAUUUUAUUUAUUUACUUAUUUCAGAGAAAGCGAGAGUUGGAGGGAGGGGGAGACAAAGAAUCUCAAGCGGGCUCAAUGCUCAGCAGGGAACCCGACACAGGGCUGAUCCCAUGACCCUGGGAUCAUGACCUGAGCCGAAAUGACGAGUCAGACGCUUGACUGAGCCACCCAAGCGCCCCACCAAUGUUCAGUUUUAACGUGGGUUCAGUGUCCUUCCUUGACGGCUCCUGUCCCCUUCCAGGACUCUGGGCCGCGGUACAGCCGUACCGUUGAAAUGGUUGAGUGUCUCAAGCUAGCGAGACCUACCACAGGCCUCCAGUGGGGGCAGAAUCAAAGGUGGGGUUUAAACAGAAAUUAAGACUCCGGGACACCAAACCACAGACUUCCAGGUGUCAUUAGUUAUCUGUUGCUGCGUAACAAAGUGUCCCCAAACGUAGAGGCUUUGAACAACAGGAACCGUUAUUGAACGGUUUCUGUGGGUCAGGAGUUCAAGAGUGGCUUAGCUGGUGGUUUGCCUCAGGGUCUCUCGUGACACUGCAGUCACCGUGGGUCAGGCCCGCAGUCGCCUGAAGGCGACGGCCAAGAUGGUUGACUCGCAUGGCUGGCAAGCUGGUUCUUCAUCACGGAGGUCUCCACAGGGCUGCUCGUCUGUCCCCAAGACAUGGUGGCCGUCUCCCUCCAGAAUGAGCCAUCAGACAGCAGAAGGCAGAAAGGGUGCAAUGUCUUCAAACACCACAGCUUGGACAGCAGGCAAUGUCAUCCCCGCGUCACCCCUUUGGUCACAGCGGUCAGCUCUAUCUAGUGUGGGAUGGGACCCCACCCAGGCAUGGACACCUGGGGGCAAGGUUGCUCGGGGGCCCUUCGGAGACUCCGGGGGGAACGUGGCUUAUAUGACUACCUAAUUAGUGGCUUUCACAUGGUUUCUUUCUCUUUUUUUUUUAACCAGAACGUUUUCUCAACAACCCUUCUAUUAAAAUUAUACUUCGUGUCCAAAUAAAAAUGGAGAUGUUUAUGUAAGUGCACAGAGGUGUGGGCAUUAACACUUUCAGUAACAGGUCUCCCGGCGAAAUUUGGGGAACAUUUAAAUGCCCCCAAAUGAUGAAAGGCUGCUUAUAUCAACGAUGGAAUGCCAUGCAAUGGGACACUUAGCACCUCUUGGAAAAUUGAGUAUAUUUAUUUGUAUCGACACGGAAAGGUUUACUGUUACAUUUUUUAAAAAGCCAACCGCAAAAUACUACUUAUAGUGUGAUUCUAUUUUUAUUAAAAAAUAUGCACAUACAUA